GAUCCUGGCUCAGGACGAACGCUGGCGGCGUGCCUAACACAUGCAAGUCGAACGAAGCACUGUGGAUAGAGACUUCGGUCAAUUGAAACUUUGACUUAAUGGCGGACGGGUGAGUAACGCGUGAGGAACCUGCCUUUCAGAGGGGGGACAACAGUUGGAAACGACUGCUAAUACCGCAUGACACAGCGAGAUCGCAUGGUCUUGCUGUCAAAGAUUUAUCG
rnacentral:rRNA from 1 species